GGCAUAUUUUUGGCCACCAAAAGCCAAGACCACGUUAUCUGAGAUAAAAUGAUGAAAGCUUCUCAUCAUCUAAAUAUUGUCUGUGCGUGCAUUCGCAAACACUUUGGGGAAACCACCAUCGACGCCGUUGGAAGCCACAUCCUGCGCAAAAAGUGCUCCGUCAGUAACGAUCUUACGGACAAACGGUUGUUAGGAUUCGGCUGUCGACUCACCACAAUUGAGCGGGUGGCACCCUUGGCGGGAUCGUCUGCGAUAGAGGGCUAUCCAGUAUUUUGGAUCUGACUUUUCGGUGAAAGUGAGCGGUGGAUGACUGUCUUGGACGGAGGCCAAGUUUGAAUGAAUUUUCGCCGGAGGCGGGCCCCAAAAUGGAACCUUAAGUUACCGAGACGGUUCACGAUGACCGACGUAAUUUUGACGAUGUGGGAAAAUUGUUUUUUGAUGAAACGAAAAAGUUAAAAAUUCUUUUCAGCCCGCUUUGACGAUGUGGUGUUUGGAUAUGCUCAUUCCCCUUUAAGAAAGUUAAGCCCAUGUACUUGCAUGUGAAGUCACGUGGCUAUUAGGAACAUAGACUUCAUAAUGAUAUUGACGAGACACAUUCCCCAGACACUGUGCCACGCCUUCAAAUAGGGGGCCGUCCCACAAGACCCUUCAGUCGGUCGCAGCUAUUCUCAAACACAUGCAGCGAUCCAACACUGGAUUUAGGUUGAAAAAGUAUGAAAGCUGUACCGCAUACAAAUAGGAAGGAUUGCCUCAGGAGUGAUUUGUUCGAGGAUUCAAGGUAAUUAUUAUAUUUUUCCUACCAUGCAUGUAUUUUGAAACGUGAAAAAAAAAUCAAUUCAGAAAAAUUAACUAUCGCAUUGGCAUUAUAAUUCGCAAUAUAUACAUAAAAUAAAUGCAAACUUCUUUUUUUUUUUUUGCAGUUUAACAACAAUCUGUUUUACGUUCAUAUCUAUAAAGAAUUUAGUGAUUUACGCAUUUGUUCACACAGAUUUUCAACGGAAAAAGCUUUUUGUGAUGAUGAGGUGGCACUACAGUGGCUCACAGACUAGCAACACAUUUGACAUAUUUACGUAAAAUAAAUGCCAACUGCCAGUUCUUUUCUCUUUUCGCAAAGAAUCAAGACUGUUUUACGUCCAUAUCUUUAUAGAAUUCAGGGAUUUAAGUAUUUAUUUACAAGAAUUUUCAACAUAAAAAGCUCUUUGUGAUGAUAAGACGGCUCUUUUAACAAAGAAUCGAGACGGUUUUACAUCCAUAUCUGUAUAGAAUUCAGGUAUUUGAGUAUUUAUUCACAAGAAUUUUCAACGGAAAAAGCUCUUCCUUUACAUAUUGCAGCGGCUAAUUUCCUUACGGACUAGCUGCAUAGUUCACAGUAUUUACGUAAAAUAAAUGCUACCUGCACGUUUUAAUAUUUAAGCAUUUAUUCACAAGAAUUUUCAGCGUAAAAAGCUUUGUCUGUGUUUUCACUCGAUCAGCUUUGAGGUCCAGGGGUGAAAGUGGUUUGAAUUUCUUGCCGGAACUCCCCGACGUGAAGGUCGCCACGGAGCCAGAAAUUUUAUUUAAAAAAAUUUUUUUGGGGGGGUGUCAAAACUACUGAAAUGCUAAGAAAACUGUUUUGGUCAGUUAUUUCUGUAACACAUACAAAAACUGAUUUUCACGCAAAAUUGUAUUUUUUCAAUGUUUUGCAAAAUAAAAGUUAACAAAACAGCUAUAACCCCAACCUCCAUCUCCAAAUUUUUAUUUUCCCUCAUUUCCUCACAUACUAAAUGCCAAAUCUAAAUUUUAAGUACUUAAUAACCUAGGAUGUAUAUUAAAAAUUGAAGAUAAUGUAAACAUUCACUUUUUGUUGUGUUUUUAAUAAUAAAGAUAUAAGUAACAUACAUUCAGAAAAAUAAGUACAAAUGACUUAUAUUAUGCAGAGUGAAAUGGAAUAUAUUUUGAAGAUUGCGGAAACAUUGACUUUUUCAAAUCAUAAGGAAAUGAAGAAGUAGCCUAAAAUAAAUGAACAAAUAAAAAUCCAAAGUGCACAUUGACAGCCAAGAUGUUCUAAACCUCCCCAUUAGAGCAAAUAAAACUAAAUAUGAUAAAUAGGCCACCUUAGCUCUUUCCUUGCUCUUAAAGAUUUGAUUCAUUUUCUGUUGCGCCCCCCCUGGCAUCGCUCUGCGCCCCCCCAGGGGGGCGCGCCCCACUAUUUGAGAAGUACUGAUUUAUAGUGCUGCAAUGUAUGCUAGGAGGCAUGUUGGAUGACAGCAGUGUUGACAGCAGGCGGCAGCAGAGGUUGACUGUUGGCCAAAUGAAGCUUCUUGAAGGAAUGAAACUCUUCAGCAAAUUGGUUCAAAGCUUCACGGUGGUUCAUUUGGUCUUAUGACAGUCUUAUGAUGCCGCUGUCUAAUAAAUUUUAUGUAAAUAUCCCAUAAUACUGUGAGGACAGGUGCGGCUUAUAGUCCAGUGCGGCUUAUCUAUGGACAAACCCUGUUUUCAUGUAAAAUUUGGUGGUGGCGGCAUAUCAUAAGGUGUGCCAUAAAGUCCGAAAAUUACGUUAGUUUCCACCACGAUUUGUGGCUAAAUUGUGUACGGCGUACUUCCGGGUUGUGCGCGCGCAUUCGCGCCACGUAAUUGAACAUGCCGGCGUGAUAAUAGAACGGCAAGCUUUAGUCUGACUGGUAUAAUGGAGUCAUGUGAUUGAUGUGACGUCUCAUUGGUGAAAUGGGUAGAGCUACUGUUGGCAUUGCUGGCAAAAAAAAAAAGAAAUCUUAUGUAGAGUAAAGAGGAGUAAUGUAACGACAAGUGUCGCCCAAAGUAGCGGAAUAAGAGUAGCGUUCCUUCUUCACAAAUCUACUCAAGGAAAAAGUAUGGCUUAGUACAACUACUCUUAGAUGUACAUUUUUCUCAAAAAGUUACUCAAUUAAAUGUAACGGUGUAAUGUAACGCGUUCCUUCCCACCUCCGCAUACAAGUCACAUGAUGCUAGCGUUCCAGUUAGCCUGCCAAACCAAAUAUGUGGUAAAACGUUAGACCGGAGUUGAGUUGCAACCACCAAAAGAAAAACAGUGCUGCUAAGAUUGAAGCCACCAAAAAUAAAGAAACUACCAAGUCAAACUAAGCGUGAAAAUAUGCAUAGAGGAAACAAAAAUAGACAUGAAACAUAAUAACAGUGGCACGGGUGACGCUAUGAGGGUUUUUUUUCUCCCACAGAACUGUCAUGGGAUCAUUCACGCAUGAUUAAACAAACACUUUAUGGAGCAAUUUAGAGUGUCACAAUCACUUAGCAAACACGAGCAGCAUAAACUACAAUGUCAGGCCAGGAAAUGCGACCACCUUAAUACCUCUCAUUAUCACAUAAACACACAAAUGCAAAAAUUGUCCUCUAUGAAAAAGUGUGGAAAUUAGUUUGUUUGUAAGCUUCACGUAGAUAAAUGGACAAAAAAUUGAGAGACAGCGAGAACCAAAAGUGGUAUUUGUCAUGUGGCAAAAUUGAUUUUGGCAUGUGUCAUUUUUUUUGCCAAGUGGCAUUUUUUUUUUGCAAUGUGGCAUUUUUUUGUCAUGUGGCAAAAUUGAUUUUGCCAUGUGGCAGUUUUUUUGCCAUGUGGCAAAAUGGAUU